ACCACGGAACCGACGAACACCAAAGGAUGGAGGCGGGGGACCCAACCGGUCCACCGUGUCGACGGACCAGGAGCCAGCGGCUCCUUGGGGUGAAGCCGACGUCGUUCGCGACGCGGCCGGGCAACCUCUCCAGCCCGAACCCGACAGCUGACCUCGCAGGCGCCGACGAGAGGAUAU
rnacentral:sRNA from 2 species